CCCAGGCCCUGAGACACCAGGAAGCACUCGGGGGGGGGGAAGGCAGUGACGUCCCCUGUCCCUGGGUCUAGGACGCGGCCGGCCAGGACAUCCUGCCGAGCCGCUGGCCCACGGUAGCCGCAAGACGGAGGCAAGCGGGGGCCGUCCGCGCCGGUCCCCUGGGACGGCRGCGUCGGCGGCACGGCAGGAAUGACCCCCCCUCCGGCUGCUGGAAUCCAGCUCUGGUAAACAAGUGAGUAACCCGGAUAAGAGCCCGGCCCCGCUAAAUAUAGCUGGAAGGACGGCGCGGGGCUCGGGGUGUCUCAGCGCGAGCCCUUUCUCCCGGCGGCGGCGGUGCGGAGGAUCCGGCGCAGGACCCGGCCGUUGCGUGCAUCCUCGUGCGAGGGCAGUCCGGGAUGGGGCAAGAAGACAACUGAGGAGCCGGCGCCUCCGGCCCGCGCAUGAAUUUCUUCCCGGCCGAGCGGACGCGUGCGCAGGCAAGGCAGGAUCAGCGCGGGCACUGGAGCCYGCGGGCAGGACGCGCCAUGGAGCCGAGCCUGGAGGGCGCCUG
ensembl:lncRNA